GUUGGUGUUUGAAUGCAGGGGGUAUGUGUGUGCAAUGUUGGUGUUUGAAUGCAGGGUGUAUGUAUUUGCAGUGUUGGUGUUUGAAUGCAGGGGUGUAUGUGUGUGCAGUGUUGGUGUUUGAAUGCAGGGUGUAUGUAUUUGCAGUGUUGGUGUUUGAAUGCAGGGUGUAUGCGUGUGCAGUGUUGGUGUUUGAAUGUAGGGAUGGAUGUGUGCAGUGUUGGUGUUUGAAUGCAGGGUGUAUGUGUGUGCAGUAUUGGUGUUUGAAUGCACGGUGUAUGUAUUUGCAGUGUUGGUGUUGAAUGCAGGGUGUAUAUGUGUGUGCAGUAUUGGUGUUUGAAUGCACGGUGUAUGUAUUUGCAGUGUUGGUGUUUGAAUGCAGGGCGUAUGCACUGCCACACACAUAGAUAAACACAUUGACAAAGAUAUGCACAAAAUCUUUCACACAAGCCAGAGUAUCCAUCACCAUUUCCCAUAAGCUGACAGUAGCCACAGCUCAUGGCAAUAGGCAUCAUCUUCUGAGGGAACCCCCCACACAUUUUGUACUCUUGUGCAUUAGUAAAGGUAUGAAACUAGAUGAACUCUCCAGAAGCAAAAUAAUAAUGGUGGAAGGAAGAUGGCUGCACUGAGGUGGGACCUCCUAAAGUAUUUAAAGUAUAUCUCCUUAUUUGAUCCCGAGAGGCAAUCUCCACCCUAGUAGAUAUGUCAUCAAGAAAUGCAAAGACACCCCAAUUUACAGAGCUG